CUCUGUGGUUGAGCGUCUGCCUUUGGCUCAGGGUGUGAUCCUGGGGUCCUAGGAAUCCUGGGAAUCCUGCUUUGGGCUCCCCGCAGGAAGCCUACUUUUUCCUCUGCCUAUGUCUCUGCCUCUCUGUGUCUCCCAGGAAUAAACACAUAAAAUCUUUUUUUUUUUUUUUUAAGGCAAGUGGGAGGAAAUAGGAUUUAAACACAACUGGAUGGGUUGGAUUGCACUGCGUCAGUGUGACUCUUCCUACUGAACCAGAGGGAAAGCAGAAGAGUCAGGAGACAGCUUAGUAGGUGGGCAGUGAAGGCAUCUGAGAUCUGAGCCAGAUUGCUCAGUCAUAGCUUUGAGUUCAUUUUCUCCCUUUUGUCUCCCAGGAUAGUUUUCUCCACUAUUUUGCCCAUUAGUCAUUAUGCGGAUACUUAUGAAAAUAAUAUGGUGUAGUUAUUUGAGUCAGUGCAAAGGAGAAGCAGCCUCUUUUCUCCUCCCUGACUGAGGCUAGCAUGGUGGUGAUUGAAGUGAACUUUGAAAGAAAAGUCCCUUUCUAGGGAGCAGAGCUGAGCUGUGUGGUCUGUGCAUCCCUUCCCGUCUGAGAACUGUAUCUGAGAACACAAUCUGAGACACAUCACUACCCCGGUGUAGUAAACUGUGUAAACCUGUGGACUUCAGCAAGAAGCCCGGAUGGUACUGUGCGGCAGGUGGAACCUCUGUGGAGAUACAUUCAUGGAAGGAAGCAUGCUGCAACAGAAAUGGAGUGUGAUUCAUUCAUUAUGAAAGACAACAAGGACAGAUUUUUUAUAAUUACCUAUAUCAAGUGGUGCAAUUUGGUUCAUGCACCACUCUGGCACUCAACCUCUCCAUCUAUAAAAUAAAGUGAAUGGAUUAUAUCAUCUUUUAUGUCCCUUGAAGCUCUAAAAUCUUCUAACCUCAUGCUUAUAAUGAUUUGAUUCCUUAGAUUUGACUACAUUUUCAUCUAUUUUUUUUCCAGGGUAUGAUGCAAGACAGAAAUUUAAUGAAAGUUAGAUUGAUGUGAAGGGAUAAAGUUGAUUUAAUAAAUCUAAGGACAUUAUUGAUUAUAUGAAUGUU
rnacentral:lncRNA from 12 species